UGGCACUGAGAAAGCCCUUGGGUACCCAGC
rnacentral:piRNA from 1 species